AUCAGAUAUAGUUUAAUAAAAAUAUUUGUUUUAGGCACAAAAGAUGCUAAACUUUUAGUUAUUUGAGU
rnacentral:tRNA from 1 species